GGAGCCAAGAAAAGCGCCCAAUGUUUCUGUUUGUAAGUAUUCAAAUUCUCUCUUGGGAUUCUCAUCUCUUCCGUCAUUUAUAUCACUUCCCUUCUCAAUUCUUCCACCCCAAUCCAUCCGCCUUCUCUUCCGAUCAACUCUGAAAAUCAACACCAUGUGGUUGAGACCAUUACUGUUUGGCUCGCUUUCAAGACAAGUGACGGCAAUGGCGGUUCAUCCGGCGGCCACCAUAACCACCAUACUCCAUUACAGUCGUCUCCUCCCUCGGGAUCUCGCCGUUGAUUUAGAGAGACACCGAUUCAUCCGCCAUGAGUUAAUCGAUCAGCAUGACUUCCUGUUCAAUUUCAUUGUUACCAUUUUGACAUGCUUCUGGUAGCUACCGUCGGUAAAUUUGCCGGAGUUGACUCACCGGCGCCGUUUUUUGCUCAGUGGCUGAGGCUUUAGGGAAAUUUCCAUAAAAGUAAAUAUAAGAAUAAAAUAUUGAGUUUUCGUAGUAAUGAUCAUUUUAAAUUAUGUUUUAAACCUUAUAUGUACCUUUAUUUAGUUCAAAACUCUAAAUUUUAACAAACCAAA